GCCGGGCGUGGUAGUGCGCGCCUGUAAUCCCAGCUACUCAGGAGGCUGAGGCAGGAGAAUUGCUUGAACCUGGGAGACGGAGGUUGCAGUGAGCCGAGAUCAUGCCACUGCAUUCCAGCCUGGGCGAUAGAGCAAGACUCAGUCUCAA
rfam:Pan troglodytes isolate Yerkes chimp pedigree #C0471 (Clint) chromosome 9, whole genome shotgun sequence.